AAACGCAGGCUACGGGAGCCAGCAGUGGCAACACGCUCGGGUCCCCUUCCACACUGUGGAAGCUUUGUUAUUUCACUCUUUGGGUCCACACUGCUUUUAUGAGCUGUAACACUCACCGCAAAAGUCUGCAGCUUCACUCCUGAAGCCAGGGAGACCACGAGCCCACCGGGAGGAACGAACAACUCCAGACGCGCCACCUUAAGAGCUGCAACACUCGCCGCGAGGGUCCGCGGCUUCAUUCUUGAAGUCAGUGAGACCAAGAACCCACCAAUUCCGGACACAGCACCAGUGAUGGAGGCUGACAUGAUGUAACAGUCAGAAAAGAAGACUUGACAAUCAAAUGAAACAUAUGAAGAUGCUAGGUUGCUGGCUUUGAAGAUGGAAGAAAGGACCGCAAGGCAAGGCUGCAGGCAACCCCUAGAAACUGAAAAAUGAAAGGCAGCUGUUUGUCGACUUUCACCUCCAGAAGGAACGCAGCCCUCCCUGACACAGAGUAGAGGAUUUCUGACCUCUAGAACUGUAAAAUAAUAAAUUUGUUGGUUUAGACCACUAAAUUUGUACUAUUUUUCUAAGCAGUAAUUAGAGACUGGUAAAAAUUGUAGUACUUGAAAAUGUGAUGCUGCUAUAACAAAUAAAAAUUUGAAAUUGGCUUUAGGAUUG
rnacentral:lncRNA from 1 species